rnacentral:rRNA from 1 species
GACGAACGCUGGCGGCGUGCCUAAUACAUGCAAGUAGAACGCUGAAGGAGGAGCUUUCUUCUCUGGAUGAUUUGCGAACGGGUGAGUAACGCGUAGGGAACCUGCCUGUUAGCGGGUGAGAACUAUUGGAAACGAUAGCUAAUACCGCAUAAGAGUAGAUGUCGCAUGACAUUUGCUAAAAAGGUGCAAUUUUAUCACUACCAGAUGGACCUGCGUUGUAUUAGCUAGUUGGUGAGGUAACGGCGCACCAAGGCAACGAUACAUAGCCGACCCGAGAGGGGGAUCCGGCCACCUUGGAACGGGAACAGGGCCAGGACUCCUAGGGAAGGCGCAGUAAGGGAAUCUUGGCAAAGGAGCGAAGUCUGGACGAGCAAAGCCGGGGGAGUGAAGAAGGUUCUUCGAUUGUAAAGACCUGUUGUAAGGGAAGAACGAGUGUGAGAGUGGACAGUUCACACUGUGACGGUAUCUUACCAGAAAGGGACGGCUAACUACGUG